rnacentral:rRNA from 1 species
UGGGGAAUUGUUCGCAAUGGGCGAAAGCCUGACGACGCAACGCCGCGUGGAGGAUGAAGGUCUUCGGAUUGUAAACUCCUGUUGAUCGGGAAGAAUUCCUCCGGGGUCAAUACCUCCGGGGGGUGACGGUACCGGUUGAGGAAGCCCCGGCUAACUCUGUGCCAGCAGCCGCGGUAAUACAGAGGGGGCAAGCGUUGUUCGGAAUUACUGGGCGUAAAGGGCGCGUAGGCGGCUGCCUAAGUCGGACGUGAAAUCCCUCGGCUCAACCGGGGAACUGCGUCCGAUACUGGGUGGCUCGAAUCCGGGAGAGGGAUGUGGAAUUCCAGGUAUAGCGGUGAAAUGCGUAGAUAUCUGGAGGAACACCGGUGGCGAAGGCGGCAUCCUGGACCGGCAUUGACGCUGAGGCGCGAAAGCCAGGGGAGCAAACGG